rfam:Lupinus angustifolius cultivar Tanjil chromosome LG12, whole genome shotgun sequence.
GUUGCUUCUUAUGGUGAACUCCCUUUUAUUUUAAAGUAGGGGUUGUUCUAGUUUCCGAAGCAUAUAGAAAUAUCAAAUAACCAGUUUUAAACAGCGUUGUGUAAUCUUUUAUAUCUUACACUAUGCUACCUGUCUACUGGUACAAUU